CAUGCUUUAUUUUCUUUUCUGUUGAUAUUUCAGUGUGUUAAUAGACGGUGUGUUGUAUCUAUUUCAUUUCAUUUUGCAUUUUAGGCGGAUGCAUGACUUCAAAACUAAUAAUUUUCGUAUGAGAUCAAAAAAAAAAAAAAAAAGCAUGGAAAUUAACCUGCCUACCAGUGACAUCACUACAACUAUAUGCAGUGUAUAAUAAUUGUUUGUCUACUUAGAUUUCUUGCCCAUUAUUCUCUGGGAAAACUUUUUGACAAGACUCUAAUCUGAGCUAUUAUGAACUUCCAAGCCAAAUCCUCUUCAAGUUUCACGAGCUUCUCAAUCUACCGGAGCACCAACAUGCUCUGUUUCCUGAAAUUAUCUAUUGGAGCCUAUAAAAACAUCAAAUAAACCACAGCAACUCAUCCAGGAGGUUCUCUGCGAUACUUGUGGAGCUGGAGGUACGAGAGGCUGGGUUUCAGUAUACUCAGAAGUCUCAGUAUCUUUGGCCUUAUCUGCAUCAUUACUAGUUUCAGAAGUAUAAGCACCUGAUGAUGUCAAUGUCCUAGACUCAUUUCCAACUACAGUAACACUUAAAAUCCCAGAGUCUUUGAUGUUUUCUGCAAACAUGCUAGUUUCAGCACUAUGAGCACCUGACAAAGGCAAUGCCUUAUCCUCAUUACCAUUCACAGUAGAACUAACCAUAUUUGUUGAUGACCCAACAUUUUCAUCCAAUAAGGGGAAAAGAUUAUCCUUAUUUUUCUCUGGUACCAAACGAGAUAAAACAUCAUUGGAUUCCCGCAGCAAUUUUUCUUCAUUUUCCUUCAACCCAGGUUCAACAACAUCCAGAACCUCUGAAUUCUCAACUUCAGCACCUUCCAUCACAUGCUUUGCCACUUCAGACAUAGGCACCACAGGCGCAACCACGUCAACACUAGGGGCAGUUUCUGUAAAUGAAUUACCAUUUGCUUUAUUAAGUGGUUUUUCAAGACCCAAAGCCUGUGUCACCUCUUCAGUAAAUACCUUUUGCACAUUAUCUGAAGCUGAAUUAAGGGCUUCCUCCUUCCAUUUCUUGUCCAAAACUUGAGGCUCAUCAUCAGAACUACUACUGCUAGAGCUUUUGUCAUAUCCAUCAUGUGCCUCCUUUGCAGACUGAACAUGCUCCACAUUAACGUCUUUGCUCUCCAUAUACUGCUCAGGGUUCAGUUCUUUCUCAAUUAUAACGAUAGUGUCAUCCCCUACUCCAAUUUUUUGGCUUCCUUCUGCAUCCUCAAUGACUCCAUCAUUGGGCUUGCAUUCAGAGGCUAAGGACGACGAGUUUGUCUUCUCAGAUUCUUGAUUCUCCUCAUUAAAUGGAUGCUGAUCGUUAUGGUGGUCCUGUGAUAAAGGAGAACCAACCUCACCACUAUCGCUCUCCCUCUCGUCCUGGCUUCUCGGAUCUUCACUUCCUCGAGGGCUACUGUCAUCUAAUGAAGAAGAAUUGUUGCUGUUAUUGUUGGCCUGCUGUUCCCUCUUUUUCUUAGCUGCUUUUCUCUUCUUUGCACCUGAUGGCAUGAUUGAUCGUGCCCUUUCUCACUUGUCGCGGGGCAACAACCGAAAAGAAAAAAUAUACCCAGAUCGUGGGGUGUCCCCAAGGCCCUAGACCCCUCUCUCCCUCUUCGUAUUCUCUGUAAAAUAGUACAAGUUAACAGGUAGGCCUUACGGGUGGAGAUGAGGAGCGUCUAGUAACAUGGCGUUCAGAAUCUGUUUCCCUAUCUGUCUC
rnacentral:misc_RNA from 1 species